GGAGGAAGCAGGACCUGGGCUGGGCAGAACACAGGAAGCUCUUCUGACUCUCGGAGAGAACCAGGAAGGGGUUCUCUGGACGGGACUAGAUGUUUCUAGAGGGAGUGGGGCCUCCGAGCCCUGGGAUUUACGUGAUGUCGAGUCCGUGUGUAGGUUUGGUGUUCUCACUGCUCGGGGAUGUCAGGAAGCAUACAGUUCACAUGGAAAAGCCCACCCAUUUAAUCCAGUCACGUGCACACCACCACUUUGUACCAGUUUGACACAUGUCCUUCCAGUCUUCUGCCUAUUCCUAUGCUGUGUAGUCAACUUCAUUUCCUACCUUCUCGUUGAUAACAAAAGCUCUUUUCCUUAGUGCUUUUGAAAAAAAGAGUUUGAUAAUUUCAUAUAAAGUUACCGCCGUGUGACCCCGCAGUGCCACAGCUGUGUAUUUAUCCCAGGGAAAUAAACACUGGCGCCCAUACAAAGUCCUGUACACGAGGGUGCAAAGUAGCUCCACUCACCAACAACCCAGAUGCCCUCCGCUGGUAAGUGGGUAACCGAGCAUACCGCGGAAUACCACAGCAAAGAAGAAGAAAAGAGCUCGACCACGCAAGGCAGCGUGGAGAACCUCAAAGUCAUGCCAAGUAAAAGAAGCCAGUCCCCAAAGAUCCAAGUGCAUGAACCAUUCCGGAAAAGACCAAACUGGUUAUGUCAGUUGACCUCCCACCGGCAGUGUCUGAGGGUCACUGGAUUGGGCGUUGUUAAGUAUGUGAAAUUGGAAGAUUUAUUCAGAGCUGUUUGGAGGAUCCUUGCGGGGAAGAAGGAGUAAAAGAAACAGGAUAUUCCCGAUAGUCAAAAAAUGGAAACAACCUGAAUGUUCAUCAACAGAUGAAUGGAUGAAGAAACCAGUGGUAUGGAUCAACACUGGAACCUUACUCAGCCUUCACAAAGGAGGUCUUGCCAAUUGUGACAACAUGGAGGACAUCAUGCUAAGUGAAAUAAGUCAGGCACAGAAAAACAAAUACUGCAUGAUUCACUUAUAUGUGGAAUCUAAAAUACUCAAACUCUCAGAAGCAGGAACUAGAAUGAUGAUUGCCCAGGGUGGGGAGGAGGGGGAAAUGGGAAGAUGUUGGUCAAGGAGCACCAAGUUUUAUUUAUGAAAGGUGAAUAAGUUCUGGAGUUCUAAUGUAUAGCAAUGUGAAUACAGUUAAUAAUAAAUACUGUGUUGUAUACUUGAAUUUUGCUAAGAAGGUAGAUCUUAAGUG